UCAACUUAGCAUUAUAUAUUUGUUUUCUUAACAAAUAUCUUAAAUACACUCUUUAACAUUCAGUAAAUUUUAAUUUUGAUUUUCACCAAUAAACUUUGUCAUGCCUUAGCUCGUAGACAGGCUAUAUGGGCAAAAAUUAAAAUAGAUUGAUAAUAAUAAAUUGAGAAUUUGAUUUUUGGUCCAAUAAACUUUGCAAUGCAGAGUAUAGAAGAUGUCUUCAUAGAUUGAUAGAGACGUUAUAGUGUGCAUAGAGUUAUAAUUUUGAAUUUUUCAUUUAUUCACUUUAAGGAAUAAAAUUUUGGUUAUUAGGUUACUUAACAAAAAAAAUAUAAGAAUUAAAACUUUAUAGAUAAAAAUAAAUUGAAAAUUGAGUUUUUGGCCCAAUAAACUUUGUCAUAUCUUGGCUCCUAGACAUACUAUAUAGGCAUAUAAAAAUAAAUUGAUAAAUAAAUCAAAACUCAACCCUUGCAAAAUUUUCUAGCUAGAUCAUUUCAAAAAAGAUAAAAAAUAAACUAAUUUUGUCAUCUUUAUCUAUAUUGCUUAAUAUAUAUACAUAGACAAAAAUUUUGUUGAUACCUUUUGUAUAGAAAACAUCAUUUACAUUUAGAAAUCAUGACUUUCUCUUGUUGUAAAUUCUACAUCAUCUUCAUGUUUCUAUGUCUUUCUAUUCUCCUUGUUUCAACACAAGGUACAAACUUAUCUAUUUGCCAUUCACAAAAUAAAACACAAGAGGUGGAAGCAAAAAUUUGUAAAAUUGAACGUAAUACAAGAUUGAAGAUAUAUGGUUGUAAUAAGGACAUGUGUAAUGUAGACUGCAUCGAAAAGCAGUGUGCAUCUUAUGGUGUUUGUGUGCCUGUAGUCAUAAUAAUGACAUUUUGCUAUUGUUACUAUAAAUGCCCCCUUCCAAGUCAAGAAAAUCCUUAGGGCUAAAAAUGGGAUCCGGAUUUCGUGCAGUCAUCUUUUUGGUGCAGUUAUGCAUUCAGGUCAUCUACAGUUGUCUGAUCAAGAUUAGACGGUUAUGAUUUAAAAACUUAUUUAUUGACUGCAUUUGUUUAAGCCGUCCGAUCUAAUCGGACGGCUAUAAAACGACUGCAUGGAAAAGUGACUGCACCAGAUCCAAUUCCCUAAAGGUAUUAUUAUCUCCCUUCUAGAACACUAACUAAUGGGGCUCGAAUUUACAAUGUCUCAAAUGCAAGACCUAAUAUUUUACUACUAUCAAAUUCCUAUAAUUUUGUCA